CCCUUAGAGUUUGAUCCUGGCUCAGAAUCAACGCUGGCGGCGUGCCUAACACAUGCAAGUCGAACGGGAAGGAGAGCUUCGGCUCUCCGGAGAGUGGCGCACGGGUGAGUAACACGUGGGUAAUCUGCCUUUGGGUGGGGAAUAACGAUCCGAAAGGGUCGCUAAUACCGCAUAACGCAGCGGCACCGCAUGGUGACAGUUGUUAAAGGGGGGGAUCUUCGGACCUCUCGCCUGAAGAGGAGCCCGCGCCCGAUUAGCUAGUUGGCGAGGUAACGGCUCACCAAGGCAACGAUCGGUAGCCGGCCUGAGAGGGCGGUCGGCCACACUGGCACUGAGACACGGGCCAGACUCCUACGGGAGGCAGCAGUGGGGAAUUUUGGGCAAUGGGCGAAAGCCUGACCCAGCAACGCCGCGUGAAGGACGAAAUCCCUCCGGGAUGUAAACUUCGAAAGUCAGGAAAGAAAUCCUUAUGGAUAAUACCCAUGAGGGAUGACGGUACCUGACGUAAGCCCCGGCUAACUACGUGCCAGCAGCCGCGGUAAUACGUAGGGGGCAAGCGUUGUUCGGAAUUACUGGGCGUAAAGGGCGCGUAGGCGGCAUGGCAAGUCAGGAGUGAAAGGCCUGGGCUCAACCGAGGAACUGCUUUUGAGACUGCCAAGCUAGAGUGCGGAAGGGGCAACUGGAAUUCCCAGUGUAGCGGUGAAAUGCGUAGAUAUUGGGAAGAACACC
rnacentral:rRNA from 1 species